UACGUAGGGUGCGAGCGUUAAUCGGAAUUACUGGGCGUAAAGCGUGCGCAGGCGGUUCGUUGUGUCGGUGGUGAAAGCCCCGGGCUUAACCUGGGAAUGGCCAUGGAAACUGGCGAACUGGAGUGUGGCAGAGGGGGGUGGAAUUCCGCGUGUAGCAGUGAAAUGCGUAGAUAUCGGGAGGAACACCAGUGGCGAAGGCGACUUCCUGGCCUGUUCUUGACGCUGAGGCGCGAAAGCUAGGGGAGCAAACGGG
rnacentral:rRNA from 1 species